UACGUAGGGGGCAAGCGUUGUCCGGAAUCAUUGGGCGUAAAGCGCGUGUAGGCGGCUCGAUAAGUCUGCUGUGAAAGUCCAGGGCUCAACCCUGGGAUGCCGGUGGAUACUGUCGAGCUCGAGUCCGGAAGAGGCGAGUGGAAUUCCUGGUGUAGCGGUGAAAUGCGCAGAUAUCAGGAGGAACACCAAUGGCGAAGGCAGCUCGCUGGGACGGUACUGACGCUGAGGAGCGAAAGCGUGGGUAGCGAACAGG
rnacentral:rRNA from 1 species